GGGUGAUGAUGUAUUAUCCUAUUCCAUUGCUGAAAAUCCAGUGAUGAAAAAAACUUACUGAACCC